CGUUAUGGUUAAGUUUAUAAAGUUAUCUUGUUUUUUAAGACUGGUGGUGGUGGUCCAGAUUACAUACCUCCGGAUGAAGUCCUAGAUAAGGUAGCUACUUUGUUAGGCAAUAGGGUGGAUGGUUUCACUUUCGAAUAUGGUGGCGAUGCUGAACUUGUGCCGGAGCCAACAAACUGCUGGGUUUCUGCUAAUGUAAUUAUUGCUGAUGGUGGUGGUAGUGGGAGUGAUUUUGUUUUAGAACCACAAAUUAUAAAAUUAGAUGCCAGCUUCAUCUCCUGGUGUCAAGUUUUACAAAAUGACGUAUUAAAUGAUGCAGAAGACUCAGGAAAGUGUUCAGCAAAAGAACUGAAGAAAUAUUUAUUCACUCCUAGAGCUAGUGGUUCCAAAAGAAAACUCUUCACCAAGGGUGAUAAAAACCGUUCUGCCAGAGAACUUGGAAAAGGUGUUAUUAGAAAA
rnacentral:misc_RNA from 1 species